AAUGAACGCUGGCGGCAUGCCUUACACAUGCAAGUCGAACGGCAGCAUGACCUAUCUUUCUAGUUUGAUUUCUAGUGUCGCACGUGUGUGUAAUGCAUCUGAACGUUCCUUUUUUUUGGGGUUAACGUAUCGAAAGUUACGCUAAUACCGCAUAUUCUCUGAUGAGUAAAGCUGGUGACCUUCUGUCCUUUCUCUUGAAUAUCUGCCGAUGUCGGAUUAGCUAGUUGGUGAGGUAAAAGCUCACCAAGGCAACGAUCCGUAGCGGGUCUGAGAGGAUGAUCAGCGACACUGGAACGGAGACACGGACCAGAGGACUACGGGAGGCAGCAGUGGGGAAUAUUGGACAAUGGGCGCAAGCAUGAUACAGCAAGGCCGAGUGAGUGAAGAAGGACUUCGGGUUGUAAAGAUAUUUAGGCAGGGAAGAAAAAGAACAAACUAAAAAAGGGAGAGGAUGACGGUAACAGAAUAAGAAGCAACGGCUAACUACGUG
rnacentral:rRNA from 1 species